rnacentral:sRNA from 1 species
UCGUCGGCCUGCUGCGGGCAGAUGAAGUGGAUAUGCGUGUCGAUGCCACCGGCGGUGACGAUGUUGCCUUCGCCGGCGAUGACGUCCGUACCGGGGCCGAUCACGAUGUCCACGCCGGGCUGGAUGUCCGGAUUGCCGGCCUUGCCGAUGCCGGAAAUGCGCCCGUCCUUGAUCCCGAUGUCGGCCUUGAUGAUGCCCCAGUGGUCGAGAAUGAUCACACUGGUAAUGACCACGUCGGCCACCUCGCUGGCCAGGCGUUGGCCCUGGCCCAUGCCGUCGCGG